rnacentral:rRNA from 1 species
AGAACGAACGCUGGCGGCAUGCCUAAUACAUGCAAGUCGAACGAACACUUCGGUGUUAGUGGCGCACGGGUGCGUAACGCGUGGGAAUCUGCCCUUGGGUUCGGAAUAACAGUUGGAAACGACUGCUAAUACCGGAUGAUGACGAAAGUCCAAAGAUUUAUCGCCCAGGGAUGAGCCCGCGUAGGAUUAGCUAGUUGGUGAGGUAAAGGCUCACCAAGGCGACGAUCCUUAGCUGGUCUGAGAGGAUGAUCAGCCACACUGGGACUGAGA